UCUCGAUAGCGUAAAAGUUAACUCUCUGUAUGGAGUUGGAACGUUUGCCUUCGUUUGCCACUAGAGGCGCUGUUCAAACAGCAUACAAAUUUGCGUUAACUUUUACGCUAUCGA
rnacentral:pre_miRNA from 9 species